ensembl:misc_RNA Metazoa_SRP Metazoan signal recognition particle RNA
GCCAGGCAUGGUGGCACGCACCUGUAGUCCCAGCUACUCAGGAGGCUGAGGCAAGAGGAUCGCUUGAGCCCAGGAGGUUGGGGCUGUAGUGAGCUGUGACCAUGCCACUAUACUCUAGCCUGGGCGACAGAGUGAGACCUUGUCUUUU